GUAGGUGAACCUGCGGAAGGAUCAUUAAAAAUCCAUAACAACCCGUUGAAACGUUUGCCUUUCCUUGAGAAAGGACCCUCGGUCUCGAUUAAAUUACUUUAUGAGAGACCAAGUAGGAAGAAGGAAUGAUACUGACCAGUACGUCAUUGCCAUGCUCCCUUACUUAGGUAGGGAUAUGAGACAAUGGCGAAUACGGCAGGGAUUUUUUCGACCUUGGGAGCCAAUUGGUUUGGGAACCGUUUGGCUCUUG
rnacentral:misc_RNA from 1 species